AUUUGGGUGCUUCUCUCUUUUGCCACGUUUCCUCUUUUCCCCACCGGUAAUAUUCCCAGUCCACCGCCUCACCACCAUUAGUUCCUGAUUUCAGUUCCAGCCCUAAUCGACCUUUGCUCUGCCCCAUAUUUCAGUUUCAGCCCUAAUCGCCGUUUUUCUCCGCCGAUUCUCGCCCUAUAUGACCUUUGCACCACCGCUACACCUUCGUUCCACCGGUUCAACUCCAGGUGACGUCACCCUCAAAGCCGCAGGUCCUCACCCUACUACAGAGUACACAAUAUGAAAGAGAGAGAGAGAGAGAAUAUUGUAGAAAGAGAAGGUGGUGCUCUAAGGAGACUAUAUGGUUCUGGGCAUCUAACUGAUCAGCCAGAUUUUUUUAAAGAACUGCAAUGGUUGGCUUGAAAGAGAUCAAGAACAUAUUCGAGACUCAAGAACUAUAAUACUCAGUUUUCCUUGCCAUUCCAAAUGCUGUGAUAAAUGAAGAUGCAUCAGGAGAUGUAGUGGCACUUCAACACCAGAUACGACUUCUCAAGUUUUUAUUUGCUUAGGAGGAACUUGCUAUCCUUAAACGCAGAAUACAUCCAACUCUCUAAUAUUUAGUUCAAAAGAGGAGAAUUUUAGCAAUGCAAGUUCAUACGGAGACGAUGACAAAGUUUUGAAGGGUUUCAUGUAACCAGGUAUUUGCCUUUAUGUUUUGAUGUAAGGACUUUACUUUUGGAUUUGUUACAAGGAACAAUAAUGGAACCUCAACAGCUUCAAUUUUAGGUUGCCUUUAUGUUUUGAUCUGCCUUGCAUUCUUUGUAUUUACUUUAGUAGAUGUAUCUUUCAUAUGGAGAGUGUAAUUAUAAAUCGGCAGUGGUAAUUUUAGGUUGCAUUUGGCAGUUACAAGGAACAAUAAUGGAACCUCAACAGCUUCAGUACGCCUACUUUGUUAACUGCAAAAACGGAGCUAGAGCCAGCUAGAACAAAAGGUGCAAAAACUGGAAUGAUCCUUGCACUAUAAAUGUAGUUUUUGUUUUUGUGUGUAAAUAUAGAAUUGGCUCUUUUGUCUUACCACUCUUCCAUUGUAACUGAUCCUCAUAAUACAAAAUAUUCUGUGCAAGUGAUA